rnacentral:tRNA from 2 species
AGUCGGUUAUGGCAUCUGCUUAACACGCAGAACGUCCCCAGUUCGAUCCUGGGCGAAAUCA